rnacentral:rRNA from 1 species
GACGAACGCUGGCGGCGUGCUUAACACAUGCAAGUCGAGCGGUAAGGCCCUUUCGGGGGUACGACGAGCGGCGAACGGGUGAGUAACACGUGGGUGACCUGCCCUUAGCUCUGGGAUAAGCCUGGGAAACUGGGUCUAAUACCGGAUAUGACUCCGCGGUGCAUGCUGUGGGGUGGAAAGCCUUGUGCGGCUGGAGAUGGGCCCGCGGCCUAUCAGCUUGUUGGUGGGGUGAUGGCCACCAAGGCGACGACGGUAGCCGGCCUGAGAGGGCGACCGGCCACACUGGGACUGAGACACGGCCCAGACUCCUACGGGAGGCAGCAGUGGGGAAUCUUGCGCAAUGGCGAAAGCCUGACGCAGCGACGCCGCGUGAGGGAUGACGGCC